AGAUGACACUGAAAUCAUGGUUGCAACCUACAUAUUUGGAACAAAUAAAGAUAAUGAGUUUGGGAGGCAAGAGAUAUUAGCAAAAGGAUGCAAAUUUGAUGCAACCAGAUAUUCUUUUUUUAACUUAAUUCCAAAGGGUUGGAUUGACCAAACUAUACUGGACGUAUAUGCUCAUAUGCUAAAUGAUGAGGAGAAGACUACUUCCGGAGUUUUAAGACAUUGGUA